rnacentral:misc_RNA from 1 species
UCAUGCACUACCGGUACUUAUGGCUUUUAUAUUCACGACAAUUCCAAAUGUGGCUUGCAUGUUUUGCAGAUUAAACAUUUAGAUUUUUAAAAAAAAUUAUAGUUAAUAACCCCUACAUAUCCAUGUUGAUUCAUAUGUUGAAAGCCAUUGACAUUGUGAUAUAGUGUACAAUUUAUCAUUAAAUUAAAUUGAAAUAUUCUCUACACAGCUGUACUGGUGACAGACUUAUUUUAGCAGUUAUAUAAUAGACUUGCCUUGCUAGCCAAGGUCAAAGAAAAUCUGAUGUACUCUUUUAAGAAAACAAAAUACAAGUGAAAUGUUUUAAACAACACAUGUUUAUGAACUGUUCAAACUUUCAUAUUAUAUAUCCUAGGAUAUAUUUUAGGUAAGCAAAAUUUUUUUUACAAAUUUUGGUUUCAUUGAAGUCGACUAAAUUUGGCCACAAAGGUGCUUAUUACCAGGAUGACUUUAGGAUAGUAUGCUAGAGCAACUCUUUGGCUUAUAUCUCUCUAUGCUCGAGUGGGUUCUGGAUAUAUUAAUAAACAGGGUAUAACCAUGAAAUUUGACAUUCAGUGCUUCAUUGUGUAUAGAUUAAUUAUGAUUAAAAAGUGGAGGAUGCUCAGGGCAUUUGGAUGGUUAACGCACUGCUACUUUCGACUAACUAUAUACAUGUAUAAUAUUAUCAGAUCUGAACAUCUUGUCAUCAGACAUGUUGUUUAUAGUAUAUUUAUAUCCAAAUAAAUUUCAAAGCAU